rfam:Oryza glumipatula chromosome 1, whole genome shotgun sequence.
CCUCUGUCUCUGCUAUGAUUUUUCGUGUCCAACUUUAAUCAUUUAUCCCAUUUAAUUUUUUUUUAAAAAAACAAAAACAUAAGUUAUACAUAAAGUACUAUUUAUAUUUUAUCAUCUCAUAACAAUAAAAGUACUAAUUAUAAAAAAAUUAAAUAAGACGGACGAUUAAAGUUGAGCACAGAAACUCAUAGUUGUACUUAAA